rnacentral:misc_RNA from 1 species
UACGUAGGGUGCAAGCGUUGUCCGGAUUUAUUGGGUUUAAAGGGUGCGUAGGCGGCCGAUUAAGUCAGCGGUGAAAGCCCGGGGCUCAACCCCGGAACCGCCGUUGAUACUGGUCGGCUUGAGUACAGACGAGGUAGGCGGAAUUGAAGAUGUAGCGGUGAAAUGCUUAGAUAUCUUCAAGAACACCGAUUGCGUAGGCAGCUUACUAGGCUGUAACUGACGCUGAGGCACGAAAGCGUGGGGAGCGAACAGG